GCAGACAGGCCGACAGACAGACAGACCUUUGCAUGCUGGGCCCUCCGCGCUCCAGCUCUACCCCUGCUGAUGCUGGAGGACGCUGCCUGGGGAGGCAGCAGGUGACCUCUGGGCCCCUCCCUGUCCCUGGCUGCAGUGCCUCUGAGUAUCCGCCCGCAGGAGGCUGCCGGCCCUCAGCUCCUUCAAGUUCAUCCACAGCAGAAGCAGUGACCAAGGCAGGCCCUGGAAGCCCGGCCACUGGGCUCAAGACCUCUCCACAUUCCCAGUCUGCAGGUGACAAGGACAUCCUGGGCUUCUGCUCCUCCGACCAUGGCUCCCCUUCUAGACAGAGCAGGCAAGGAUGCUGCGUUUCCCAGUGUCUCUGUGAAAAGACACAUUCCUGUGUAUUCCCUUCCAUGCAUUCACGAGGAGAGGUGUGAAGAUGGGAAGUCGGGGCGAGGUGGCUCCAGGGUCCUGGAUUCCUCACGGCACUAGGCUUUAUAAUGAAACAAAGUCUUAAUGCUGCAGGGCAGGGUGACAGAACCUGCCUUUUCGGGGCUCUCCUGCAGCCUGCAUGCAUGCUUGGGCUGUGCUCUGAAGUCUCCUGGACAUUAUCCAGCUGCUUGCUGCAGGCAGUGCUGCACCACAGGCACUGCUACUGAGCGCUCCCUGCCUCUAUCACCCGCUGCUCCAAGCCUUGGCUGGUGGGAUCCCUCGGACACAAAUAGGUCACUGUUUAAACAGGGUGUCUGAGAGUCAAGGGGAUGCCAAAAAUGAUGAAUGCUUAUAAUUGAAAAAGAAUUGUUCACUGGCUAACAAACCGAUUACAUGACAUGGCUGGAUCUAUAAAACGCUUUUAUCAAUACACGACUUUCAAAGUAAAAUUCAGGGUAAAAUAACAUGCA
rnacentral:lncRNA from 1 species